UACGGGGGGGGCAAGCGUUGUUCGGAAUUACUGGGCGUAAAGGGUUCGUAGGCGGCCUACUAAGUCAGACGUGAAAUCCCUCAGCUUAACUGGGGAACUGCGGCUGAUACUGGUGUGGCUUGAGUGCAGGAGAGGAACGCGGAAUUCCAGGUGUAGCGGUGAAAUGCGUAGAUAUCUGGAGGAACACCGGUGGCGAAGGCAGCGUUCUGGACUGCAACUGACACUGAGGAACGAAAGCCAGGGGAGCAAACGGG
rnacentral:rRNA from 1 species